GCUCAGUUGGUUAAGUAUCUGAUUUUAGCUCAGGUCAUGAUCUCACUGUUUGUGGGUUCGAGCCCCACAUUGGGCU
rnacentral:tRNA from 1 species